GAUGAACGCUGGCGGCGUGCCUAAUACAUGCAAGUCGAGCGAACAGAUGAGGAGCUUGCUCCUCUGACGUUAGCGGCGGACGGGUGAGUAACACGUGGAUAACCUACCUAUAAGACUGGGAUAACUUCGGGAAACCGGAGCUAAUACCGGAUAAUAUAUUGAACCGCAUGGUUCAAUAGUGAAAGACGGUUUUGCUGUCACUUAUAGAUGGAUCCGCGCCGCAUUAGCUAGUUGGUAAGGUAACGGCUUACCAAGGCAACGAUGCGUAGCCGACCUGAGAGGGUGAUCGGCCACACUGGAACUGAGAAACGGUCCAGACUCCUACGGGAGGCAGCAGUAGGGAAUCUUCCGCAAUGGGCGAAAGCCUGAUGGAGCAACGCCGCGUGAGUGAUGAAGGUCUUCGGAUCGUAAAACUCUGUUAUUAGGGAAGAACAAAUGUGUAAGUAACUAUGCACGUCUUGACGGUACCUAAUCAGAAAGCCACGGCUAACUACGUG
rnacentral:rRNA from 1 species